GGGUUGUGAGGUUAAGCGACUAAGCGUACACGGUGGAUGCCCUGGCAGUCAGAGGCGAUGAAGGGCGUGCUAAUCUGCGAUAAGCGCCGGUAAGGUGAUAUGAACCGUUAUAACCGGCGAUACCCGAAUGGGGAAACCCAGUGUGACUCGUCACACUAUCAUUAACUGAAUCCAUAGGUUAAUGAGGCGAACCGGGGGAACUGAAACAUCUAAGUACCCCGAGGAAAAGAAAUCAACCGAGAUUCCCCCAGUAGCGGCGAGCGAACGGGGAGGAGCCCAGAGCCUGAAUCAGCAUGUGUGUUAGUGGAAGCGUCUGGAAAGGCGCGCGAUACAGGGUGACAGCCCCGUACACAAAAGCGCAUGUGCUGUGAGCUCGAUGAGUAGGGCGGGACACGUGGUAUCCUGUCUGAAUAUGGGGGGACCAUCCUCCAAGGCUAAAUACUCCUGACUGACCGAUAGUGAACCAGUACCGUGAGGGAAAGGCGAAAAGAACCCCGGCGAGGGGAGUGAAAAAGAACCUGAAACCGUGUACGUACAAGCAGUGGGAGCACCCUUUGGGUGUGACUGCGUACCUUUUGUAUAAUGGGUCAGCGACUUAUAUUCUGUAGCAAGGUUAACCGAAUAGGGGAGCCGGAGGGAAACCGAGUCUUAAUUGGGCGUUAAGUUGCAGGGUAUAGACCCGAAACCCGGUGAUCUAGCCAUGGGCAGGUUGAAGGUUGGGUAACACUAACUGGAGGACCGAACCGACUAAUGUUGAAAAAUUAGCGGAUGACCUGUGGCUGGGGGUGAAAGGCCAAUCAAACCGGGAGAUAGCUGGUUCUCCCCGAAAGCUAUUUAGGUAGCGCCUCGUGAAUUCAUCUCCGGGGGUAGAGCACUGUUUCGGCUAGGGGGCCAUCCCGGCUUACCAACCCGAUGCAAACUGCGAAUACCGGAGAAUGUUAUCACGGGAGACACACGGCGGGUGCUAACGUCCGUCGUGAAGAGGGAAACAACCCAGACCGCCAGCUAAGGUCCCAAAGUCAUGGUUAAGUGGGAAACGAUGUGGGAAGGCCCAGACAGCCAGGAUGUUGGCUUAGAAGCAGCCAUCAUUUAAAGAAAGCGUAAUAGCUCACUGGUCGAGUCGGCCUGCGCGGAAGAUGUAACGGGGCUAAACCAUGCACCGAAGCUGCGGCAGCGACACUGUGUGUUGUUGGGUAGGGGAGCGUUCUGUAAGCCUGCGAAGGUGGCCUGUGAGGGUUGCUGGAGGUAUCAGAAGUGCGAAUGCUGACAUAAGUAACGAUAAAGCGGGUGAAAAGCCCGCUCGCCGGAAGACCAAGGGUUCCUGUCCAACGUUAAUCGGGGCAGGGUGAGUCGACCCCUAAGGCGAGGCCGAAAGGCGUAGUCGAUGGGAAACGGGUUAAUAUUCCCGUACUUGGUGUUACUGCGAAGGGGGGACGGAGAAGGCUAUGUUGGCCGGGCGACGGUUGUCCCGGUUUAAGCGUGUAGGUGUGUGUUCCAGGUAAAUCCGGUUCACUUUAACACUGAGGCGUGACGACGAGGCACUACGGUGCUGAAGCAACAAAUGCCCUGCUUCCAGGAAAAGCCUCUAAGCAUCAGGUAACAUCAAAUCGUACCCCAAACCGACACAGGUGGUCAGGUAGAGAAUACCAAGGCGCUUGAGAGAACUCGGGUGAAGGAACUAGGCAAAAUGGUGCCGUAACUUCGGGAGAAGGCACGCUGACACGUAGGUGAAGUGAUUUACUCAUGGAGCUGAAGUCAGUCGAAGAUACCAGCUGGCUGCAACUGUUUAUUAAAAACACAGCACUGUGCAAACACGAAAGUGGACGUAUACGGUGUGACGCCUGCCCGGUGCCGGAAGGUUAAUUGAUGGGGUCAGCGCAAGCGAAGCUCCUGAUCGAAGCCCCGGUAAACGGCGGCCGUAACUAUAACGGUCCUAAGGUAGCGAAAUUCCUUGUCGGGUAAGUUCCGACCUGCACGAAUGGCGUAAUGAUGGCCAGGCUGUCUCCACCCGAGACUCAGUGAAAUUGAACUCGCUGUGAAGAUGCAGUGUACCCGCGGCAAGACGGAAAGACCCCGUGAACCUUUACUAUAGCUUGACACUGAACAUUGAGCCUUGAUGUGUAGGAUAGGUGGGAGGCUUUGAAGUGUGGACGCCAGUCUGCAUGGAGCCGACCUUGAAAUACCACCCUUUAAUGUUUGAUGUUCUAACGUGGACCCGUUACCCGGGUUGCGGACAGUGUCUGGUGGGUAGUUUGACUGGGGCGGUCUCCUCCUAAAGAGUAACGGAGGAGCACGAAGGUUGGCUAAUCCUGGUCGGACAUCAGGAGGUUAGUGCAAUGGCAUAAGCCAGCUUGACUGCGAGCGUGACGGCGCGAGCAGGUGCGAAAGCAGGUCAUAGUGAUCCGGUGGUUCUGAAUGGAAGGGCCAUCGCUCAACGGAUAAAAGGUACUCCGGGGAUAACAGGCUGAUACCGCCCAAGAGUUCAUAUCGACGGCGGUGUUUGGCACCUCGAUGUCGGCUCAUCACAUCCUGGGGCUGAAGUAGGUCCCAAGGGUAUGGCUGUUCGCCAUUUAAAGUGGUACGCGAGCUGGGUUUAGAACGUCGUGAGACAGUUCGGUCCCUAUCUGCCGUGGGCGCUGGAGAACUGAGGGGGGCUGCUCCUAGUACGAGAGGACCGGAGUGGACGCAUCACUGGUGUUCGGGUUGUCAUGCCAAUGGCACUGCCCGGUAGCUAAAUGCGGAAGAGAUAAGUGCUGAAAGCAUCUAAGCACGAAACUUGCCCCGAGAUGAGUUCUCCCUGAGACUUAAAGUCUCCUGAAGGAACGUUGAAGACGACGACGUUGAUAGGCCGGGUGUGUAAGCGCAGCGAUGCGUUGAGCUAACCGGUACUAAUGAACCGUGAGGCUUAACCUUACAACGCCGAAG
rnacentral:rRNA from 40 species